AUUGAACGCUGGCGGAAUGCUUUACACAUGCAAGUCGAACGGCAGCACGGGGCAACCUGGUGGCGAGUGGCGAACGGGUGACUAAUACAUCGGAACGUGCCCAGUCGUGGGGGAUAACGUAGCGAAAGUUACGCUAAUACCUCAUACGACCCAAGGAUGACAGCGGGGGACCGCAAGACCUCGCGCGAUUGGAGCGGCCGGUGUCAGAUUAGGUAGUUGGUGGGGUAAAGGCUCACCAAGCCGACGAUCUGUAGCUGGUCUGAGAGGACGACCAGCCACACUGGAACUGAGACACGGUCCAGACUCCUACGGGAGGCAGCAGUGGGGAAUUUUGGACAAUGGGCGAAAGCCUGAUCCAGCCAUUCCGCGUGCAGGAUGAAGGCCUUCGGGUUGUAAACUGCUUUUGUACGGAACGAAACGGUGAGCUCUAAUACAGUUUGCUAAUGACGGUACCGUAAGAAUAAGCACCGGCUAACUACGUGCCAGCAGCCGCAGUAAAAC
rnacentral:rRNA from 1 species